rnacentral:rRNA from 1 species
UUCCGGUUGAUCCUGCCGGACCUGACUGCUAUCGGAUUGAUACUAAGCCAUGCGAGUCUUUGCAGUAAUGCAAGGCAUACGGCUCAGUAACACGUAGUCAACUUACCCUAUGGACGAGGAUAAUCUCGGGAAACUGAGCAUAAUUCUUGAUAGAUCAUAAUGCCUGGAAUGGUUUAUGGUUAAAAUGAUUCGUCGCCAUAGGAUGGGACUGCGGCCUAUCAGCUUGUUGGUGAGGUAAUGGCCCACCAAGGCGAUUACAGGUACGGGCUCUGAGAGGAGAAGCCCGGAGAUGGGUACUGAGACAAGGACCCAGGCCCUAUGGGGCGCAGCAGGCGAGAAAACUUUGCAAUGUGCGAAAGCACGACAAGGUUAAUCCGAGUGAUUUCUGCUAAAGAAAUCUUUUGCAAGUCAUAAAACCACUAGUGAAUAAGGGGUGGGCAAGUUCUGGUGUCAGCCGCCGCGGUAAAACCAGCACCUCAAGUGGUCAGGAGGAUUAUUGGGCCUAAAGCAUCCGUAGCCGGCUCUGUAAGUUUUCGGUUAAAUCCAUGUGCUCAACGCAUGGGCUGCCGAAAAUACUGCAUAGCUAGGGAGUGGGAGAGGUAGACGGUACUCGGUAGGAAGGGGUAAAAUCCUUUGAUCUAUCGAUGACCACCUGUGGCGAAGGCGGUCUACCAGAACACGUUCGACGGUGAGGGAUGAAAGCUGGGGGAGCAAACCGGAUUAGAUACCCGGGUAGUCCCAGCUGUAAACGAUGCAGACUCGAUGAUGCAUUGGCAUAUAGCCAGUGCAGUGUCGCAGGGAAGCCGUUAAGUCUGCCGCCUGGGAAGUACGUACGCAAGUAUGAAACUUAAAGGAAUUGGCGGGGGAGCACCACAAGGGGUGAAGCCUGCGGUUCAAUUGGAUUCAACGCCGGG